rnacentral:lncRNA from 1 species
UGGUGUGUUUACAAACCUUGAGCUAGAUACAGAGUGCCGAUUGGUGUAUUUAUGUCUAGCUCAGGGAUUGUAAAGGUUCUUCACGGCCCCACCAGAGCAGCUAGAUACAGAGUGUCAAUUGGUGCACUCACAAACCCUGAGCUAGACACAGGGUGCUGACUGGUGUGUUUACAAACCUUGAGCUAGAUACAGAGUGCCGAUUGGUGUAUUUAUGUCUAGCUCAGGGAUUGUAAAGGUUCUCCAAAGCCCCACCAGAUUCAGGAGCCCAGCUGGCUUCACCCGGUGAAUCCCGCACCGGGGCUGCAGGUGGAGCUGCCUGCC